ACGGGACGUGGGAACAUGCGCAGUGGGAAUAUGUUUGUAGUACAGAAAACAAUCCUCGGCGCUGCCUCGACGCACCUUCCAGCACAACAGGGAAAGCACUGAUGUUUGGAGGGCAGAGCGUUUGCGGGCUGGAUUUGAACGUGAAACAAGCAAAUUUGUCAGAAUGAAAGGACUGGAGUCUAGUUGACUUAGUGGCACUGUGGGAUGGUACUCGAACAAGGAACUUCGAAGUGUGGCCUCAGAAAACAGCUAGAGCUUAGUACCUUUUCCAUUUCCACGGAAGUUUCCAAGCAGUAAAGAAACACCAAGAGGAGCUGUAACUUCACGCUUCCAUUUUCAGCAAGAAGGGCUCCUAUUGAGCUGAAAUUAAGCACGCACUACUCAGUAAAUGUUCCUCUUUCUUCUGCAGGAGGACUGGGACAGCAAGAAGGGCCUCCUAAAUUUUGCCCCAGAAAACGCCAAGACGUUAUUUUUAUAUUAUUUUCCAAUUUCAGUCAAAAAAUAAAGUGCUCCUAUUGAGCUGAUAUUCAGCAAACAAUACUCAGUAAAAGGUCCUCUUUAUUCUGCAGGUGAACUGAGACAGCAAGAAGGACCUCCUAAAUUUGGCUCCAGAAAACGCCAAGAGGUGGACUGAGACAAGAAGGAGCUAGAGCCUCCGGAAUUUGGCCCCAGUAAACACCAAGAGGUGGACUAAGACAAGAAGGCAGCUAGAGCCUCCGGAAGUUGGCCCCAGUAAACACCAGCAGGUGGACUGAGACAAGAAGGCAGCUAAAGCCUCCGGAAUUUGACCCCAGACCAAGAGGUGGACUGAGACAAGAAGGAGCUAGAGCCUCCAGAAUUUCGCCCCAGUAGACACCAAGAGGUGGACUGAGACAAGAAGGAGCUAGAGCCUCCGCAAUUUGGCCCCUGUAAAUGCCAAGAGGUGGACUGAGACAAGAAGGAGCUAGAGCCUCCGGAAUUUGGCCCCAGUAAACGCCAAGAGGUGCUCUGAGACAAGGAGGAGUUAGAGCCUCCGGAAUUUGGCCCCAGUAAACACCAGGAGGCUAGUCUUGCCCUCUUUUUAAUUUUCAGUCAAAAAAUAAAGUGCUCCUAUUGACCUGAUAUUCAGCAAACAAUAUUCUGUAAAGUAUUACCGUCUUUUCCAUUUUCAGUCAAAAAAUAAAGUGCUCCUAUUGAGCUGAUAUUCGUCAAACAAUAUUCUAUAAAAGGUCCUCUGUAUUCUGCAGGUGGGCUGAGACAAGGAGGAGCUAGAGCCUCCGGAAUUUGGCCCCAGUAAACACCAAGAGGAUAGUCUUACCCUCUCUUCCAUUUUCAGUCAAAAAAUAAAGUGCUCCUAUUGACCUGAUAUUCAGCAAACAAUAUUCUGUAAAACGUCCUCUUUAUUCUGCAGGUGGACUGAGACAAGGAGGAGCUAGAGCCUCCGGAAUUUUGCCCCAGUAGACACCAAGAGUCAAAAAAUAAAGUGCUCCUAUUGACCUGAUAUUCAGCAAACAAUAUUCUGUAAAGUAUUACCGUCUUUUCCAUUUUCAGUCAAAAAAUAAAGUGCUCAUAUUGAGCUGAUAUUCAUCAAACAAUGUUCUGUAAAAGGUCCUCUGUAUUCUGCAGGUGGGCUGAGACAAGGAGGAGUUAGAGCCUCCGGAAUUUGGCCCCAGUAAACACCAGGAGGUGGACUGAGACAAGGAGGAGCUAGAGCCUCCGGAAUUUUGCCCCAGUAGACACCAAGAGGUCCUCUUUAUUCUGUAAGCGGACUGAGACAAGAAGGAGCUAGAGCCUCCGGAAUUUGACCCCAAUAAACACCAAAAGGUGGGCUGAGACAAGAAGCAACUAGAGCCUUCGGAAUUUGGCCCCAGUAAACACCAAGAGGUGGACUGAGACAAGGAGGAGCUAGAGCCUCCAGAAUUUCGCCCCGCUAGACACCAACAGGUGGACUGAGACAAGAAGCAGCUAUAGCCUUCGGAAUUUGGCCCCAGUAGGCUUAGAUAAGAAGCACCUAGAGCCUCCGGAAUUUGGCCCCAGUAAACACCAAGAGUAAAACGUCCUCUUUAUUCCGCAGGUGGACUGAGACAAGGAGGAGCUAGAGCCUCCGGAAUUUGGCCCCAGUAAACACCAAGAGGUGGAAUGAGAGGGAGAACGGCCACCAAAAAGUGGACGUCAGAAAAGAACAAGAGGUGCAAAGGGACAGGAAGGGAAAAGCUUUCAAAGUAUGGCCUCAGGAAACACCAAGAGGAAGAACGGGAGAGGAAGAACGACUGCGGAAAUUUGGCCGCAGCAAACACUGUUAAAAGGCAUAGGACUGUUUCCUAAUCUGGCCGCGGAAGACUAUGAAACUUCAUGUCGAGUGUCAAUUUGUUUGUAAUCGUUAUUCAGUUGCAUUUGCAUGAUUAAACUUCGUCACACUUUGA